GACGAACGCUGGCGGCGUGCCUAAUACAUGCAAGUCGAACGAGAAAUUCUUACACCGGAUGCUUGCAUCCACCGUAAGAUUUCGAGUGGCGGACGGGUGAGUAACACGUGGGUAACCUACCGCAAAGACAGGGACAACAGUUGGAAACGACUGCUAAUACCUGAUACCAUAAAUUAUCGCAUGAUAACUUAUGUAAAGGGGCGUAUGCCUCACUAAGCGAUGGACCCGCGCCGCAUUAGCUAGUUGGUGAGAUAAUAGCUCACCAAGGCGACGAUGCGUAGCCGACCUGAGAGGGUGAACGGCCACAUUGGGACUGAGACACGGCCCAGACUCCUACGGGAGGCAGCAGUAGGGAAUUUUCCACAAUGGGGGCAACCCUGAUGGAGCAAUGCCGCGUGAGAGAAGAAGGCCUUCGGGUUGUAAAUCUCUGUUGUAAGGGAAGAAAAUUAGUAAGAGGAAAUGCUUAUUAAGUGACGGUACCUUACCAGAAAGCUACGGCUAACUACGUGCCAGCCGCCGCCGUAACAC
rnacentral:rRNA from 1 species